GCGUGGCUCAGGGGUGGAGCACCUGCUUUGCAUGCAGAAGGUCCCGGGUUCAAACCUUGGCAUCUCCA